UUCAGGUAACAUGUUCCAUAUAUUGUUCUUUUUUCUUUGUUUUGAUGGUUUUGAUUAGAGUUCAAGGUUUUUGUUAAACUUUGCAAGAGAGAACACUCCAUCACUCGUAUGGUUUAAUAACACGAUUUAGGAGAAUAAAUUCCAGUGUUAUGGAGUUGUCAUGUGCUUAACUGUCAUUUGUUGACGUUAUAAUAUGAGGGAGGCACGGUGUUCACCUGAACCCCAUUGGGCAUCGACGAAAAAUUGUGAGGUAUAUUGGAGG
rnacentral:lncRNA from 1 species